rnacentral:rRNA from 1 species
UACGGGGGGGGGCAAGCGUUGUUCGGAAUUACUGGGCGUAAAGGGCUCGUAGGUGGCCAACUAAGUCGGACGUGAAAUCCCUCAGCUUAACUGGGGAACUGCGUCCGAUACUGGAUGGCUCGAGUUUGGGAGAGGGAUGCGGAAUUCCAGGUGUAGCGGUGAAAUGCGUAGAUAUCUGGAGGAACACCGGUGGCGAAGGCGGCAUCCUGGACCAACACUGACACUGAGGAGCGAAAGC